CAGGCUUAACACAUGCAAGUCGAGGGGCAGCAUUUUAGUUUGCUUGCAAACUAAAGAUGGCGACCGGCGCACGGGUGAGUAACACGUAUCCAACCUGCCGAUAACUCGGGGAUAGCCUUUCGAAAGAAAGAUUAAUAUCCGAUGGUAUAUUAAAACCGCAUGGUUUUACUAUUAAAGAAUUUCGGUUAUCGAUGGGGAUGCGUUCCAUUAGUUUGUUGGCGGGGUAACGGCCCACCAAGACUACGAUGGAUAGGGGUUCUGAGAGGAAGGUCCCCCACAUUGGAACUGAGACACGGUCCAAACUCCUACGGGAGGCAGCAGUGAGGAAUAUUGGUCAAUGGACGAGAGUCUGAACCAGCCAAGUAGCGUGAAGGAUGACUGCCCUAUGGGUUGUAAACUUCUUUUAUAUGGGAAUAAAGUAUUCCACGUGUGGGAUUUUGUAUGUACCAUAUGAAUAAGGAUCGGCUAACUCCGUGCCAGCAGCCGCGGUAAUACGGAGGAUCCGAGCGUUAUCCGGAUUUAUUGGGUUUAAAGGGAGCGUAGGUGGAUUGUUAAGUCAGUUGUGAAAGUUUGCGGCUCAACCGUAAAAUUGCAGUUGAAACUGGCAGUCUUGAGUACAGUAGAGGCGGGCGGAAUUCGUGGUGUAGCGGUGAAAUGCUUAGAUAUCACGAAGAA
rnacentral:rRNA from 1 species